GGCUACACACGUGCUACAAUGGGUAGUACAGAGAGUCGCAAAGCCGCGAGGUGGAGCUAAUCUCAGAAAACUAUUCUUAGUUCGGAUUGUACCCUGCAACUCGAGUACAUGAAGUUGGAAUCGCUAGUAAUCGCGAAUCAGCAAUGUCGCGGUGAAUACGUUCUCGGGUCUUGUACACACCGCCCGUCACACCACGAGAGUUGGUUGCACCUGAAGUAGCAGGCCUAACCGUAAGGAGGGAUGCUCCGAGGGUGUGAUUAGCGAUUGGGGUGAAGUCGUAACAAGGUAUCCGUACGGGAACGU
rnacentral:rRNA from 1 species